CNNGAAGGCGGCGGCUUACCAUGCAAGUCGAGCGGAGAGAGGUAGCUUGCUACUGAUCUUAGCGGCGGACGGGUGAGUAAUGCUUAGGAAUCUGCCUAUUAGUGGGGGACAACAUUUCGAAAGGAAUGCUAAUACCGCAUACGUCCUACGGGAGAAAGCAGGGGAUCUUCGGACCUUGCGCUAAUAGAUGAGCCUAAGUCGGAUUAGCUAGUUGGUGGGGUAAAGGCCUACCAAGGCGACGAUCUGUAGCGGGUCUGAGAGGAUGAUCCGCCACACUGGGACUGAGACACGGCCCAGACUCCUACGGGAGGCAGCAGUGGGGAAUAUUGGACAAUGGGCGCAAGCCUGAUCCAGCCAUGCCGCGUGUGUGAAGAAGGCCUUAUGGUUGUAAAGCACUUUAAGCGAGGAGGAGGCUACUUUAGUUAAUACCUAGAGAUAGUGGACGUUACUCGCAGAAUAAGCACCGGCUAACUCUGUGCCAGCAGCCGCGGUAAUACAGAGGGUGCAAGCGUUAAUCGGAUUUACUGGGCGUAAAGCGCGCGUAGGCGGCUAAUUAAGUCAAAUGUGAAAUCCCCGAGCUUAACUUGGGAAUUGCAUUCGAUACUGGUUAGCUAGAGUGUGGGAGAGGAUGGUAGAAUUCCAGGUGUAGCGGUGAAAUGCGUAGAGAUCUGGAGGAAUACCGAUGGCGAAGGCAGCCAUCUGGCCUAACACUGACGCUGAGGUGCGAAAGCAUGGGGAGCAAACAGGAUUAGAUACCCUGGUAGUCCAUGCCGUAAACGAUGUCUACUAGCCGUUGGGGCCUUUGAGGCUUUAGUGGCGCAGCUAACGCGAUAAGUAGACCGCCUGGGGAGUACGGUCGCAAGACUAAAACUCAAAUGAAUUGACGGGGGCCCGCACAAGCGGUGGAGCAUGUGGUUUAAUUCGAUGCAACGCGAAGAACCUUACCUGGCCUUGACAUAGUAAGAACUUUCCAGAGAUGGAUUGGUGCCUUCGGGAACUUACAUACAGGUGCUGCAUGGCUGUCGUCAGCUCGUGUCGUGAGAUGUGGGUUAAGUCCCGCAACGAGCGCACCCUUUCCUUAUUUGCCAGCGAGUAUGUCGGGACUUUAAGGAUACUGC
rnacentral:rRNA from 1 species